rnacentral:lncRNA from 1 species
ACAUCCCUGUUCCUACCCACUAGAUGUCAGUAGCAACCUCCAAUCCUUCCAGUUGUGACAACAGAAAUGCCAGGAGAUGUCAAAUAUUCCCCACAGGACAGCAGUGCCCCACUGAGAUCCACGGAGUUACAGUGACUUCAUUGCACAGCUGUUCCAUCAGGUCCCAGGCAGGUGACACCCACAGGCUAGCAAAGAAAAUGGUGGGAGAGGGGAGCUUGCAACUUAGCUGCGACGAAAUGAGUCAUCUGGGACUCUUCCUGCAGAUACUACCCCAUGACAGGACCUGGGAGAGCAAAAGCAAAGCCUUGGAAUCCCUGUGAGUUAUCCAGCAGGCUUCCAAGUGUAACUGGCUUGACCCACGCUACCAUCUCGUCAGCAAGAACGCACGCAGGACACUCGGAUCCGUCUGCAGUAAAGCUUUAAUGAAUCUCAAGAGAUAGAUGAUCAGCUUCAGGAGAGGAGACCCAGAGAGCAGAAAACCCUUCCCUUAUAUAGGCUGCGAAGUAAGUUUGGAGACGUGCACUAGCCGGAUUGGCUGCCCACCAUCAGCCAGAUGACGCCAUGGGAGAGGCAGGGCUCAGGUAAUGGAAAGAUACCCUGACGCCUGCGCACACUACUUGUUUUUCACCACGAGCAACAGAUGUCAGCGCCAUUUUGUAAUGGCGACCGUGAGGGCGGCUCCUCACACUGGCUAGUUUUGUGUCAACUUGACACAGCUGGAGUUAUCACAGAAAAAGGAGCUUCAGUUGAGGAAAUGCCUCCACGAGAUCCAGCUGUGGGGUAUUUUCUCAAUUAGUGAUCAAGGGGGAAAGGCUCCUUGUGGGCGGGACCAUCGCUGGGCUGGUAGUCUUGGUUCUAUAAGAGAGCAGGCUGAGCAAGCCAGGGGAAGCAAGCCAGUAAAUAACAUCCCUCCAUGGCCUCUGCAUCAGCUCCUGCUUCUUGACCUGCUUGAGUUCCAGUCCUGACUUCCUUGGUGAUGAACAGCAGUAUGGAAUUAUAAGCUGAAUAAACCCUUUCCUCCCCAACUCGCUUCUUGGUCAUGAUGUUUGUGCAGGAAUAGAAACCCUGACUAAGACAAAUUGGUACCAGCAGAGUGGGGUAUUCCUGUGACAACCUGACC